rnacentral:rRNA from 1 species
GACGAACGCUGGCGGCGUGCCUAAUACAUGCAAGUAGAACGCACAGUUUAUACCGUAGCUUGCUACACCAUAGACUGUGAGUUGCGAACGGGUGAGUAACGCGUAGGUAACCUGCCUGGUAGCGGGGGAUAACUAUUGGAAACGAUAGCUAAUACCGCAUAAUAUUGAUUAUUGCAUGAUAAUUGAUUGAAAGAUGCUAUUGCAUCACUACCAGAUGGACCUGCGUUGUAUUAGCUAGUAGGUGAGGUAACGGCUCACCUAGGCGACGAUACAUAGCCGACCUGAGAGGGUGGUCGGCCACACUGGGACUGAGACACGGCCCAUACUCCUACGGGAGGCAGCAGUAGGGAAACGUCGGCAAUGGACGAAAGUCUGACCGAGCAACGCCGCGUGAGUGAAGAAGGUUUUCGGAUCGUAAAGCUCUGUUGUAAGAGAAGAACGGGUGUGAGAGUGGAAAGUUCACACUGUGACGGUAUCUUACCAGAAAGGGACGGCUAACUACGUG